AGUCUAGCAUGUGCGCGAGUCAUUGGGACUCAAUAAACCUAAAGGCGCAAUGAAAGUGAAAGUCUGUUUACGCGGACUUAGGGAGGAUAGGUGUCCGGUGCACACACAAGUUGUGUACACAAACCUCGCACUCCUGGGGCGUCUCGCACUCAUUGCGAGGUGGGGCGCACCAAGAGCGUACACGCUGGGACCCGAAAGAUGGUGAACUAUGCCUGGUCAGGACGAAGUCAGGGGAAACCCUGAUGGAGGUCCGUAGCGAUUCUGACGUGCAAAUCGAUCGUCGGAACUGGGCUUAGGGGCGAAAGACUAAUCGAACCAUCUAGUAGCUGGUUCCCACCGAAGUUUCCCUCAGGAUAGCUGGCACUAGAUUAUGGAUGAGUCUCAUCCGGUAAAGCGAAUGAUUAGAGGCAUUGGGGUCGAAACGGCCUCAACCUAUUCUCAAACUUUAAAUGGGUGAGAUCUCCGGCUUGCUCGAUUUAUGAAGCCGGAGAUCGGAUCAAUUAGUGCCAAGUGGGCCACUUUUGGUAAGCAGAACUGGCGCUGUGGGAUGAACCAAACGCAGAGUUAAAGCGCCAAAAUCGACGCUUAUGGGAUACCAUGAAAGGCGUUGGUAACUUAAGACAGCAGGACGGUGGCCAUGGAAGUC
rnacentral:rRNA from 1 species